GCGGGGAGGCCUGAUCCUGAGCUGUGUCCCCGUUACCCUGUGCUCCUGGGCCUGUGCUGUUGGAUUCGCGCUCCUGGGAAGGCAGCCCCCU
rnacentral:pre_miRNA from 1 species